AGCUCCAAUAGCGUAUAUUAAAGUUGCUGCAGUUAAAAAGCUCGUAGUUGCAUUUCCGAGGCAAGGGAUUAGUCCGACCUUUGGUGGGUAUUUAAUCCUCUUUCCUCGUCCUUGAGUGGUGCUUCUUGGUAUUAAGUUAUCGAGGAGAUAGCCGCUCAUCGUUUACUGUGAGAAAAUUAGAGUGUUCAAAGCAGGCUUAUGCCGUUGAAUAUAUUAGCAUGGAAUAAUAAGAUAGGACCUAGGUACUAUUUUGUUGGUUUGAGAACCAAGGUAAUGAUGAAUAGGGACAGUUGGGGGUAUUCGUAUUCAGUUGUCAGAGGUGAAAUUCUUAGAUUUACGGAAGACGAACUACUGCGAAAGCAUUUACCAAGGAUGUUUUCA
rnacentral:rRNA from 1 species